AUUGAACGCUGGCGGCAUGCUUUACACAUGCAAGUCGAACGGUAACAGGUUAAGCUGACGAGUGGCGAACGGGUGAGUAAUGCAUCGGAACGUGCCCGGUCGUGGGGGAUAACGCAGCGAAAGCUGCGCUAAUACCGCAUACGAUCUGAGGAUGAAAGCGGGGGACCGUAAGGCCUCGCGCGAUCGGAGCGGCCGAUGUCAGAUUAGGUAGUUGGUGGGGUAAAGGCGCACCAAGCCGACGAUCUGUAGCUGGUCGGAGAGGACGACCAGCCACACUGGGCCUGAGACACGGCCCAGAAUCCUACGGGAGGCGGCAGUAGGGAAUUUUGGACAAUGGGCGCAAGCCUGAUCCAGCAAUGCCGCGUGCAGGAAGAAGGCCUUCGGGUUGUAAACUGCUUUUGUACGGAGCGAAAAGGCUCUCUCUAAUACAGGGGGCUCAUGACGGUACCGUAAGAAUAAGCACCGGCUAACUACGUGCCAGCCGCCGCGGUAA
rnacentral:rRNA from 1 species